GGGGAUGUAGCUCAGUGGGAGAGCGCUUGCUUCGCAUGUAAGAGGUCCUGGGUUCAAUCCCCAGCAUCUCCA
rfam:Callipepla squamata strain Texas jcf7180005229314, whole genome shotgun sequence.